rnacentral:rRNA from 1 species
GACUCGGUUGGGCGGUCCGCUUAACGGCGUGUACUGUCUGACUGGGCCUUACCUCUUGGUGAGCCAGUGUGCCCUUUAUUGGUGUGCAUUGGGGAACCAGGACUUUUACUUUGAAAAAAUUAGAGUGUUUAAAGCAAGCGUACGCUUGAAUACAUUAGCAUGGAAUAAUGAAAUAGGGCU